AGCCCAAACCCUACAGUCCUUUUCUGCUCAUCUGUCCUCUAUGAAGGGUUCUUUGGCACAGGUUUCCUGGCUGCACUCAGAGUUUUAUUAUCUUCUUCCAAGGAUGUGGACUUUAUUAAAAUGGAGUAAUAAAGGUUUCGUCAGUGUUUGGAUUCUACCACUGAACUGAAUGGAAAGCAAAGAGAAAGAAAACAUUUUGUCCUGAGCCCAGAGCAUGGGUAUC